GCCUGGCUGGCUUAGUCGGUAGAGUGUGUGGCUCCUAAUCUCAGGGUCAUGAGUUCAAGCCCCAUGCUGGGCG